rnacentral:rRNA from 1 species
GUCGAGCGAACGAUAAGGACUUGCUCCUUUGACGUUAGCGGCGGACGGGUGAGUAACACGUGGGUAACCUACCUAUAAGACUGGGAUAACUUCGGGAAACCGGAGCUAAUACCGGAUAACAUUUGGAACCGCAUGGUUCUAAAGUGAAAGAUGGUUUUGCUAUCACUUAUAGAUGGACCCGCGCCGUAUUAGCUAGUUGGUAAGGUAACGGCUUACCAAGGCGACGAUACGUAGCCGACCUGAGAGGGUGAUCGGCCACACUGGAACUGAGACACGGUCCAGACUCCUACGGGAGGCAGCAGUAGGGAAUCUUCCGCAAUGGGCGAAAGCCUGACGGAGCAACGCCGCGUGAGUGAUGAAGGGUUUCGGCUCGUAAAACUCUGUUAUUAGGGAAGAACAAAUGUGUAAGUAACUGUGCACGUCUUGACGGUACCUAAUCAGAAAGCCACGGCUAACUACGUGCCAGCAGCCGCGGUAAUACGUAGGUGGCAAGCGUUAUCCGGAAUUAUUGGGCGUAAAGCGCGCGUAGGCGGUUUCUUAAGUCUGAUGUGAAAGCCCACGGCUCAACCGUGGAGGGUCAUUGGAAACUGGGAAACUUGAGUGCAGAAGAGGAAAGUGGAAUUCCAUGUGUAGCGGUGAAAUGCGCAGAGAUAUGGAGGAACACCAGUGGCGAAGGCGACUUUCUGGUCUGUAACUGACGCUGAUGUGCGAAAGCGUGGGGAUCAAACAGGAUUAGAUACCCUGGUAGUCCACGCCGUAAACGAUGAGUGCUAAGUGUUAGGGGGUUUCCGCCCCUUAGUGCUGCAGCUAACGCAUUAAGCACUCCGCCUGGGGAGUACGACCGCAAGGUUGAAACUCAAAGGAAUUGACGGGGACCCGCACAAGCGGUGGAGCAUGUGGUUUAAUUCGAAGCAACGCGAAGAACCUUACCAAAUCUUGACAUCCUUUGAAAACUCUAGAGAUAGAGCCUUCCCCUUCGGGGGACAAAGUGACAGGUGGUGCAUGGUUGUCGUCAGCUCGUGUCGUGAGAUGUUGGGUUAAGUCCCGCAACGAGCGCAACCCUUAAGCUUAGUUGCCAUCAUUAAGUUGGGCACUCUAGGUUGACUGCCGGUGACAAACCGGAGGAAGGUGGGGAUGACGUCAAAUCAUCAUGCCCCUUAUGAUUUGGGCUACACACGUGCUACAAUGGACAAUACAAAGGGCAGCUAAACCGCGAGGUCAUGCAAAUCCCAUAAAGUUGUUCUCAGUUCGGAUUGUAGUCUGCAACUCGACUACAUGAAGCUGGAAUCGCUAGUAAUCGUAGAUCAGCAUGCUACGGUGAAUACGUUCCCGGGUCUUGUACACACCGCCCGUCACACCACGAGAGUUUGUAACACCCGAAGCCGGGGAGUA